CCCUUAGACGUCCUGGGCCGCACGCGCGCUACAAUGACUCAUGCAACAAGUUCUUCCAAACUCGAAAGAGGUCAGGAAAUCUUUAUAAUGUGAGUCGUACUAGUAGGGAUUGAUCUUUGCAAUUCUGGAUCAUGAACGAGGAAUUCCUAGUAAGCAUAAGUCAUCAACUUGUGCUGAUUACGUCCCUGCCCUUUGUACACACCGCCCGUCGCUCCUACCGAUUGGAUGGUUUAGUGAGGACUCCUGAUUGGCGCCGCCGCCCCGGCAACGGAGCAGCAGACUGCCGAAAAGUUGUUCAAACUUGAUCAUUUAGAGGAAGUAAAAGUCGUAACA
rnacentral:rRNA from 1 species